rnacentral:lncRNA from 1 species
UUCUCAUAUGAAUAAAUAAUAUACUAUAUAUAAUGAGUUGAGCUGGAAUGCUAUCCGGAGCAAAUGGCUCUGUUGCCACCUAUUUAUUUUCGGUGAUGGAGCUUCUAAAUCGAUGAUUGGCAUCGUUAAACAUGAUUUAUACUACUUGAAUUAUCUAGAAACCAAAAUUCAAAUCCUUUCGUCAUCAUUGACAUAAUGAUCAAAAAAGUUUCAAAAUUUACAAUUUAAAUAGUAAAUAUGAGAUUAUUUCUCGUUUAACGGCGUAAAGAUAUCUAUAUCAAUUGAAUUUUAGUUAGAAAAAUUUUAGAAUUAUUCAAAAAAAGAUGUAUAUUCUUGAUCA